rnacentral:rRNA from 1 species
UACGUAGGGGGCAAGCGUUGUCCGGAAUUAUUGGGCGUAAAGAGCGUGUAGGCGGUCCGGUAAGUCAGCUGUGAAAGUCAAGGGCUCAACCCUUGGAUGCCGGUUGAUACUGUCGGGCUAGAGUCCGGAAGAGGCGAGUGGAAUUCCCGGUGUAGCGGUGAAAUGCGCAGAUAUCGGGAGGAACACCAAUGGCGAAGGCAGCUCGCCGGGACGGUACUGACGCUGAGACGCGAAAGCGUGGGGAGCAAACAGG